GGAGGAAUAUUGGUCAAUGGGGCGGUAGCCUGAACCAGCCAAGUCGCGUGAGGGAUGACGGCCCUACGGGUUGUAAACCUCUUUUAUAAGGGAAUAAAGGACAUCACGUGUGAUGUUUUGUCAUGUACCUUAUGAAUAAGCAUCGGCUAACUACGUGCCAGCAGCCGCGGUAAUACGUAGGGGGGCGAAGCGUUAUCCGGAUUUACUGGGUGUAAAGGGAGCGCAGGCGGCGAAGCAAGCCAGAGGUGAAAACCCGGGGCUCAACCCCGAGGAUUGCCUUUGGAACUGUUUUUGCUUGAGUGCUGGAGGGGCAGGCGGAAUUCCUGGUGUAGCGGUGAAAUGCGUAGAUAUCAGGAGGAACACCGGUGGCGAAGGCGGCCUGCUGGACAGUAACUGACGCUGAGGCUCGAAAGCGUGGGGAGCAAACAGGAUUAGAUACCCUGGUAGU
rnacentral:rRNA from 1 species